rnacentral:rRNA from 1 species
UACGGAGGGAGCUAGCGUUGUUCGGAAUUACUGGGCGUAAAGCGCACGUAGGCGGCUAUUCAAGUCGGGGGUGAAAGCCCGGGGCUCAACCCGGAACUGCCCUCGAAACUAGAUAGCUAGAAUCUUGGAGAGGCGAGUGGAAUUCCGAGUGUAGAGGUGAAAUUCGUAGAUAUCUGGAGGAACACCGGUGGCGAAGGCGGCAUCCUGGACCAAUUCUGACACUGAGGAGCGAAAGCCAGGGGAGCAAACGGG